UGGCGCGGCUGCCCCUCUGUUGGUCUUCCUUGGUCUCUUGUGUUCUGGGGGCCUCUGGAUGUCUGGAGUUUUGAUCUCCUCCAUACCUGCUUCAUGCCCUGGAGGACGGGGCUGUGGCCCCCCCACACCCUCUAGCAGAUCAUUACAUGAAGGAACCUUUUAAAAAAACAAGCGCGUCCAUUUACCGGUCGAUCUACGUCCCUACCCUCACCUAUGGCCACGAGCUGUGGGUAGUGACCGAAAGAAUGAGAUCGCGGAUACAAGCGGCAGAAAUGAGCUUCCUCCGAAGGGUGGCUGGCCUCUCCCUUAGAGAUAGGGUGAGAAGUUCGGCCAUCCGGGAGGGGCUCAGAGUAGAGCAGCUGCUGCUCCACAUCGAAAGGAGCCAGCUGAGGUGGUUCGGGCAUCUGACAAGGAUGCCCCCUGGGCGCCUCCUGGGUGAGGUGUUCCAGGCAUGUCCCACCGGGAGGAGGCCCCGGGGCAGACCCAGGACACGCUGGAGAGAUUAUAUCUCUCGGCUGGCCUGGGAACGCCUUGGUGUUCCCCCGGAUAAGCUGGAGGAGGUGGCUGGGGAGAGGGAGGUCUGGGCCUCUUUGCUUAGGCUGCUGCCCCCGCGACCCGGCUCCGGAUAAAGCGGAUGAAGAUGGAUGGAUGGAAGCGCGUCCAUGCUCACAGGUGUACACACGGGUGAUCACACCCACAAACUACACCCUUUUUGGCUCCUACCUCAAAGCACACUGUGUUCUGUUGAUCCUAUGUGCUGCACAAUAAUGUUUAAUAUUUAGUAUUUACUGUCAUAUUCCCAUAUAUCAUUGUGAUGUUGUUUAUUCUAUUACUCUUGUUCUCUUCUGCUUGUUUUCUUUUUUCUUUCUCAACAGGUGAUCCAGGUGAUCGAUAGAUGCAUUUUUUUUUCUUUUUCUGCCCAUUCUGUUGGUUUUUGUUUUUUUGCCCUUCUCCCCUAUCCCUCUUCUCAGCUCUUUCUCUUUCUUUCUCCCCUUCUUUCCCCCAGUCAAGUCUGUCCCGUAUUCAACAAGUGAAAAUAAAAUAAACAAUAAAAGGUGAAUCAAAUGGACCAUUACGGCAAGGCUGGGAUGGUCAAUUUGGUAAAGUAAAUCCGUUGGGCAUCUUUCUUUGCCUUUAGACAAUAAUUCUGAUGGCAAAAGAGCCAAACGGGACAGGCAAAAAAAAAAAAAAAAGUCCUCUCUCCUCAACAUCUCUAUACCACCACAGAUAUGUCAUGUGGACCAACUGCCUUUCCUCUCUUCAUAGCUGCCUUCACUUCCUCCUUACUUAUCCCCUGCGCUUCCUGAUUCACUAACUUUCCUCCAUCUGUCCUCAGUUUCUGUCUUUAUUAAUGUCUUCAUUAAUGAAGACAGUGAGAGAAUACUUCUAUCUUCCAUCUUCUCAACACACUCUCUUCACCAUCUUUAUCCUUAAUCACUCUAACCUGCUGCACAUCCUUUUCAGCUCAAUCUCUGUAUAGCUAAUUCAUGCAAGUACUGUUCUCCUUCCUUAGUACCCAGCCUCACGUACAACUCAGUAUAAGCUUUUUCCUUUGCCACCUCUAUCUUUGCAGUUGGCCUGGCCUCCCAGUAUUCCUGUCUACUUUUAUCCAUCUCCCCUGACUAUCGCACUUUCUCUUAGCUAUUCCUUUGAGGAACUACAGGAAAGUGUCCAAUCCACCACCAAGUCUCCUUGUCCUCUUUUCUCUCUCCAAAAGAUACACCAAACACCUUCUUUGCCUUUCUCUCACCAUUUCAGUUGUAUUUUUCCAGUCAUCUGGUAACACUUCCCUUCCACCCAGAGAAUGUCUACUCCUCCCUGAACUAACAACUGCACAACAUUCUUCCUUCUUCAGCUUCCACCAUUUAGUUCUUGUCUCUGCCUUCAUUCUCUUCCUCUUCUUGACGUCCAAAGUCAUCCUAUAGACUAGUGUCCAAUGCUGCAUGGCUACAUUCUCUCCUGACACCACCUUGCAGUCUCCUAUCUCUUUCAGACUGACCCUUCUGUUUAGGAUGUAAGCCACCUGUGUACACUUUCUUCCACUCUUCUACGUCACCUUCUGUUCCUCCUUCUUCUUGAAGUAUGAGUUCACCCCAGCCAUUUCCAUCUUCCUAAUUUUGACCUUGUGCAUUUCUCUGCUUAACACUAUACCUAUCUAACACCUCAUUAUCUCUCUUUCCUUCACCUACAUGGCUACUGAAGUCUGCUCCAAUCAACACUCUCUACCACUUUAUCAAACUAACUGCAGAAUUCCUCUUUCUCUUCUAACUGACAUCCAACCUUCAACCUGGUCUCCUGCACACACAUGACCCUCCCCCCGCGCACCUGCACUGCAGCUCUCAAACUUUUGCAGGGCAUGUGACGUCAUUCAGUCCACAGUCGGAGUAGCCGUUUAAGUGGAGCUCUGAAGACUGCAAAUCACGCUUUCUGCAGGUGAAGGAAGCCACGGCAGCAAGCCAAAUACAGACGAUAACGUGGCGCUCGCAUGCAGUGAUAAUGGCUGUUCUGAUAGUGGUGUUUUUUGUGACUCCAGAUGGCUAAUAUUUGACAUAGCAGCUACUCCGUGUCCCCCAGAGAAAUGAAAAAGGAGGAGGCAGUGAGAUGGAUGAAGGUGGAAGUUCUGAGCAUUUCUCCUCUCAAAAGAGACCGGAGCCCACCAGUGAAGAGAGUUCAGAUGUAGAUGAAGAGAGCAAGGAAGCAAGACUGGCUUUGAGGAAAAGGGGAAAAACCAAAGUGGCCAAAGCAAAGGAGAUCCCCCGUGCGAAGGUCAAGAGGCCAUGGAGUGAAGCAGAGAAGACGGCAGUGCAAAGACGGCUGGGAAUUAUGUAGGAAGCAGGAAGGUCAUACUGGUACAGUUGUAGCCAUCCUAAGCUUUACUGAUUUUUCUUUUUGGCAGAAGUCAAAACAAACUGAUCAAAGUUAUUGAUCACUAUUUUAGUUGUAAGUCAUUAGACUUAAUAGUUGUCUUCAUUGUUAUAAUAGCAAUUAUUAUUCCUCUGGAAGGAUGUUACAUUGUGAAAUAAACUGAAUUUGCUCUUGUUGCAGCAUUGUGGGAAUUUCCUUGGUAAUUAUUAAUAAAAUCUACAGCGGUAUUUGAAAUGUAAUACUACCUUUUGUUAUGUAGGGUUGUCUUGAUAGAUUAUCAGAACUUUUUAGUUAUUCUAUUUAUGUAUAAAGUUGAGACUGUUUAACUUUAACAUUAUUUGGUUGCACUAAAAUAGAAAAUGUCAAGGAGUAAAUGCAAACAGAAAAAAACAUAUAGACAGAAACGAACACAAAAGCACCCCCUGGUGGAAAAUCACCUGAAUAGCACUCAAUGACAAGGUCCUCAUUCUGAUAGUAGAAUGAGUUUUUUUUUUUACUUGAGUGUUUUAAGAUUUUGAGGUGAUUUUUGGUGUUAGAGAGCCACCCAGUGUUCAAAAUUGGCAAAGGUUUGUCUGCAAGUGUAGCAGAAAUGGUGGUCCUCACUUUGAUAGUACACUUACCCGGUCCUCAGUCGUUAUGCAAGACAGGAAUGUGUGUGUGUGUGUGUGUGUGUGUGU
ensembl:lncRNA